rnacentral:rRNA from 1 species
ACUUUAGGAAUAAGCACCGGCUAACUCCGUGCCAGCAGCCGCGGUAAUACGGAGGGUGCGAGCGUUAUCCGGAAUCACUGGGUUUAAAGGGUGCGUAGGCGGCCUGAUAAGUCAGAGGUGAAAGUCUGCGGCUUAACCGUAGAAUUGCCUUUGAUACUGUUGGGCUUGAGUCAGGUUGAGGUUGGCGGAAUGUGACAUGUAGCGGUGAAAUGCAUAGAUAUAACUCAGAACACCUAUUGCGUAGGCAGCUGUCUAUACUACAACUGACGCUGAGGCACGAAAGCGUGGGGAGCGAACAGGAUUAGAUACCCUGGUAGUCCACGCUGUAAACGAUGAUCACUCGUUGUUGGCUACUUAGUAGUCAGUGACCAAGGGAAACCGAUAAGUGAUCCACCUGGGGAGUACGUCGGCAACGAUGAAACUCAAAGGAAUUGACGGGGGCCCGCACAAGCGGAGGAACAUGUGGUUUAAUUCGAUGAUACGCGAGGAACCUUACCUGGGCUUAAAUGCUGGCUGCAUUGGAGGGAAACCUUCAUUUCCUACGGGACCGCCAGCAAGGUGCUGCAUGGUUGUUGUCAGCUCGUGCCGUGAGGUGUCGGGUUAAGUCCCAUAACGAGCGCAACCCCUAUCGCUAGUUGCCAGCAUGUAAGGGUGGGGACUCUAGCGAGACUGCCGGUGUAAACCGGAGGGAAGGUGGGGAUGACGUCAAAUCAGCACGGCCCUUACGUCCAGGGCUACACACGUGUUACAAUGGCCGGUACAAAGAGCAGCCACCUGGCGACAGGGCGCUAAUCUCUAAAACCGGUCUCAGUUCG